GAUGUUAAACACUUGUGGUACUUUUUUUAUUCUGAUAGUGAAAGGAACCACAUAGUUACACUCUCACAGAUCAUGUUAAACACACCUGAAAACCUUCCUUGUGCAGUCUCCAUGAUCUCGGCCGCUCUACACAAGCCACCAGCAACUGCAUGGUGGCCAUGCUAAGCACAUCCUGUUAUGCUGGAAAUAUCCACAGCCUUCCUCAUCCCUGGCGCAUGUUCAUUCUUUGUGGCACAGAGAUACCCUUGUCACUGAACACGAACUGCCUCGUGAGUUAUUAAAUCUGGUGUUUAAGCAAUGUGCGGAAUAUCUUCACACACUUAUCUUGAAGAUCUCACAGGAACUAAAUGUACCACUCCACAAAGAGAGAGAGCUUUACAGAUGAUGCAAGCAUAUUUAAACAAUUUGCAUUGUAGUUAUAUGUUUUAUUCUGAGGAAUACCGUCAGACUUGAACAUUGACUCUAAAAAGAUCACAGCACACUUGUGAAACCUCCCAGCCUUCCUCCCUGAGUCACUUCAAGCGCUUUUGUGGGAAUCAUCACAUCCUUCCUUUGCCCUUGAGCACAAGCUGCUUCAGGAGUUAUUGAAUCCAACUGAAUAUAUCUCUAAAUAAACUUUCAAAAAGAUCACUGCACAGUAGUUUGCCUCAGUUUUGCGAUGCUUACCACCUCAAUUGAACACAGGCCGUAAAAAGAUUGCGACACGUUUGUGAAACCUCCCAGGCUUCCUUCCUGAGACACUUAUGCGCUCUUUUGUGGGAAACACCACAUCCUUCCCUUGUCCUCCAACACAAGCUGCUUCAGGAGAUAUUAAAUCCAAUUGAAUGUGUCUUUAAAUAAACUUUCAAAAUGGUUGCUGCACAGUACUUUGCUUCAAGCUGUGUCAUAAAUAAAUCAUCAAACAAUUUGCUGGGAUGACUUUCACAAAUUGAAUAUACACCUGCACUGUAGGCAGUUUUAAUUACAACUACAGAUCGACACUUCUAUGGAAUAUUUCCAUGUAUAAACAAAUUAGAUAAAGUGUUUGAAGCCUCAGUACAUUUGCAAAAGAUCGAAACUGGACUGAAAUAUUUGUGUGCAUAAACAAAUUGGGUAAAUUAUUUGACCUCUCAGUAUAUUUGCAAAUGUUUCUUUAAACAAUUUGUUUAAAAUACACUCACACACAAAAUACUGCACUGUCUUCACAGAUGCACAUGGAACAGAAAUAAUGUGUGUAAAAAAAGGAAUGCAAUUACAUUCGAAAAUACAUCAUGCAGGAAUAUUGUUUAUACAUUGAAACUAAGAUAAAUAAGCGCAAAUACACCAUGUGAAAACUUUGGAGAUGAUCCUACAUCAUGUAAAAAUUUUUGUUAAAUACAUUAUCAAAGUAGUUUGCUACAUGUGGCAUGGUUGUAACCCAGGACUCGCGAAGUGGCAUGUCUGUCAGCAGUUGCAGCUCGCCAUAGAGUGAACUGGCGACUGGUAGCGGGGACACUACAACUGCAUCAAUGAGUGCAUCCAGCAUGAAGAACAGAUCGGUGGAACGAGUUGGUAUUUCCAGAACCCCACAUGCAAAAGUGCAUGGAAUCUGUGGCUGUAAGACCAGCAUCAAUUUGUUCUGCAUGCUCAGACAAGCAUUCAUCUCAUCAGCAGGUAGGGGGGGGGAUGAUGAACUCCUAUUGGCUCCUGAAAAUAUUGUUCUGGGCUUUCCAUCAACCGCGCUUCCUAACUGGUUCCUGCCCUACCCCUUCCACACCCAGUCUCAUUUUGCCAGUGUCAGUUGGCCAGUGUGGUUGCUCCUUAGUUGUGUGUGUCAGUUUGUUGAAAAUGAAGCGUUCAGCAACAUCGACUACCAUCAUUGUGGGCAGAAAACGACAUAGAAUUGUAGAAGAAGAAGAUGAUGAAGAAGAAGAAGAAUAUGGAUUGCCACAUAUGUAAAUAAUUUUGUUUGUUUGUAAAUAUGUGGUUAUUGUGUAGAAAUCAGGAAAAAAAAUUAGUGUGUUAAAAAAUUCUCAUCGGUAAUUCAGUUUCGUUUCCUUGUUUUACAAUGCAACUCCAGGAUUUUAUCCUAGAUUGCAAGGGGCAGAUAGGAGGAGGAAGAGGGCGCUAGGCCACAGGAAACUCUCCCUGUUGAGGUCCAGCCUCCUUUGGAAAGCCUGCAACUAGAACUGCUAUCUCACAUGGUGAAAAUGCUGCUUGAGCUGGAGGCAAUGCUGGAAGCUGACAAAAUACGCCACCCACACGCUGUUGAACAGCCUCCAGCAGCAAAUACACAGCACCAACAGUCAAAUAAGUAUUAAAAAAAAGAGAUAUUUGUGUAGUAGUAGCUCUGUAAUUAAAUGUUUCGUCUUGCUGCAGCAACAAUUCUAGUGGGAUUAGACCUCCUAGACAGGCAGCUGGAGGCUGUUCACCAACUGCAGCAGCAGUCUCCAGCACCCAGUGAGACAGCAGAGCAGUUUUGUGAGAUGGAUCGGAGGCACCAUAUUAACCCUGACAAGGAUGAGAAACCUGAAAGGGUCAGGGAAAUGGCUCUAGACGAAGAGCUGCAAAGGCAGGGUGACGUGGCCCUUUUAGAGGAGGAUAGCUUCCCUGAAGGGGUGGUAGAGAUACCUGAUAAUGCCAAUGAAAUGUUCAUGCUAUGGACCCUGAGCGUGAAAUGUAAUUAUUAACUCUACUUAUGUAACAAUGCAGUCUGUAUUCUUUCUUUUAUUUCUUACAGCAGCAGCAAGCAAUUUGUGGAACAUUGUACUUAAUUUUUUUCGUUAUUCUAUCUCUUCUACACUGGCUACAUCUGCACAGCUGCAGCAGAGCGUGAUGUAGGUAGCAGUGGGGGCUAAACCUACCUAAUCAAAGUGGCAUCUGGUGAACCAUGCUGCACUGGCAAAAACACAGCUAGUCGCCGUGUGAGAGGCCACAGCCAACACCUUGUCUGCCACAAUCAUCCCAGCACCGCAUCUGUGGAUUUAACAAUAAGCUACCACCUGUCAGGUUAGUGGGUCAGGCCUACAGCAGCAUCAGCAUUGAAGCUGUUGGUACAGCCAGGCUGUUCCCACUGGCCUGACCCAAUAGAUCCUCCUCAGUCAUGGCGGCCAGUGUGCCUGAGCGGUUCUAGGCGCUACAGUCUGGAACCGUGUGACUGCCACGUUCGCAGGUUCAAAUCCUGCCUCGGGUAUGGAUGUGUGUGAUGUCCUUAGGUUAGUUAGGUUUAAGUAGUUCUAAGUUCUAGGGGACUGAUGACCUCAGAAGUUAAGUCCCAUAGUGCUCAGAGCCAUUUUUUUAAGAACUUGGUUGUUGUGGAGAUGGUGAACACUACAGCAGAGUUUACAAAACCUAUUUAUGUGGGGAUAUGCAUACAAGACCUAUCAUAGAACUUAGAACUACUUAAACUUAACUAACCUAAGGACAUCACACAUGCAUGCCCGAGGCAGGAUUCGAACCUGCAACAAUAGCAGCAACGCAGUUCCGGACUGAAGCACCUGGAACCGCUCGGCCACUCCGGCCGGCCAAGACCUAUCCAAACUCCACAUGUACCACUUUCAUUCUGAGUUGGCGAAAAUCAUUUUGCAGAUCCUAAAUUACUGUAUAUGGAUACAGACAGCUUCAUCUGUUGGGUGAAGAAUUGUUAUCCAUAUGAAGUAAUGAGGUACCACAGUGAUGAAUUCGAUGUGUCCUCAUACAUGUCCAAUAAUCGUUGUGGCAUUCUUCCACAGAACAAGCUUAUCAGCUGUAUAAAAGACGAGGAGAAUGGAUAGCAAAUUGUGGAGUUUGUAGGUCUGUGAUAAAAAAAUGUAAGCAAAUCGCACAUUGGAAGGUGCCACCUAGAGGUGGGCUAAGGGUGUGCAUCACAUGGCAUCGUGUACCCUCUCUGUCGAAGACUAUUUGCAGUGCCUGUACAUCAGUGUCUGCAGUGCAUGUGAUAAGACAAACUAGUAUUCUAUCGAGAGGACAUGGAGUGUACACUGUGCUGCAGACUAAAAUCGGCCUGUUGCCUCAUAUUGAUAAAAGGGUCAUUUGUGAUGGGAUUGAAACUCACCCAUAAUCACACUACUUGCUUCUCACUUGUAGCGAGAGAAGGGAUGGGGGAGCGGUUCUGAUUGAGUGAAAGAGAGAAAGAGUGAGAGAGAGAGCGAGUCUGCAGAGUAGUAGUGUGACCCCUUUAUCAUAAUGUAAGUGGUUGUGUGUGUGUGUGUGUGUGUGUGUGUGUGUAUG